rnacentral:rRNA from 1 species
GACGAAGGAUGCAAGCGUUAUCCGGAUUCAUUGGGUUUAACGGGUGCGUAGGCGGACUGGUAAGUCAGUGGUGCAAUCUCUUUGCUUAACAAAGGAACUGCCAUUGAUACUGCUAGUCUAGAGUAUAGAUGACGUUGGCGGAAUAUGACAUGUAGUGGUGAAAUACUUAGAUAUGUCAUAGAACACCGAUUGCGAAGGCAGCUAACGAAACUAUAACUGACGCUGAGGCACGAAAGUGCGGGGAUCAAACAGG